UACGAAGGGGGCUAGCGUUGCUCGGAAUCACUGGGCGUAAAGGGUGCGUAGGCGGGUCUUUAAGUCAGGGGUGAAAUCCUGGAGCUCAACUCCAGAACUGCCUUUGAUACUGAAGAUCUUGAGUUCGGGAGAGGUGAGUGGAACUGCGAGUGUAGAGGUGAAAUUCGUAGAUAUUCGCAAGAACACCAGUGGCGAAGGCGGCUUGCCCAGAAUGCGCUCGACGGUGAGGGAUGAAAAGCUGGGGGGAGCAAACAGG
rnacentral:rRNA from 1 species